UCGACGGUAGGCCUAUUCGGAGAGAAGU
rnacentral:sRNA from 1 species